rnacentral:lncRNA from 12 species
UGUGUGUGGGAGGGUCAGAUGUGGGGGUUGCCCGCGAGAGGGCCGUUCCUGGGCGAUCAUUUAUCAAUGUCACCCACAUAAUGAUUCUCUCUGCAGCCUCCUAUUGAUGAGGAUAAUUACAUUAGCUCAGAGUGACUGAUCAAUGAAAAACCACCACACAAAAACUUCUUUACUCCUCUAUAAUACCAAAAACCGAUACAGAAAUAACAUAGAAAGCCUGAUUUUCUUUCCCUUUACUAUCCACCAAUAGAUGCUGCCCCUCCUCCCCCCCAAAAGGACUGGGAGUAAAGUAAGAAAAUAGACCCAGGUUUGUUUCGUUUAAAGGAGGAUGCAAUUUUUUGCCCGUGAAUGCAUUUUCUCAAAAUGCUUUGGCUUCAUUCCCCCUUUGGUAGAGAAUAUCAACGGAUUUGCUAAUGUGAGUUGCUUUUAGAUUGGCCUGUGGUUUUCCGUUCUUUUUAUUUCUUUCCUCCCCUUUAGACAUUUUUUUCUACUUCAAAAAAAAAAAAAGAAUUAUAAAUAACUGGAAAAGGAAAUUACCCUAGGUCCUCUCUCUCUCUCUUCUUCUUCUUCCUUUUUUUCUUUUUCUUUCUUUCUUUUUUUUUUUGUUGUUGUUUAGCCUUUAUUUAAGUCUGGUUUUCUUUUGUCUUUAUCACUUCAUAAAGUAGCGCAAUUAAAGAUGUGAUGUUGCCUGGGUACAAAGGCUGGAUCUAUAAUACGGCGACAUAAUACGCCGUAUUCUCGCCUGAAAGUUUGCAGCUAAAUUACGAUUUCGCCUUUUCUAGACUUCAAAAAAUCAAUAUUUUCUCAAUUAAAGAGAAUUUUAAUGCUUUACUUGCGAGUUGUUAAAGGCGUUAUAAAUUUUAUUGUGAUGCUUCUUGGCUUCGGAGUAGAUGCAGGAGACCGGUUGAUUCUCGUGGUCUUUUUCCUCUCAGAGAACCUAGUCCAGAAACGUCCAGGGUGUCAGAUCAAAUCCAAGCAACAAAGCUUCGCCAGAGAAAACUCGCGGGGAGCUCGGCCUCUGUCAGUAAAGUCCCCGAGGAUCGCCCGCGGCGUCCAGUUCCUCGUCCGGAACGACCCUUCCCUGCACCUCUAA